ACAUAUUGAAAAAUGAUCGUAAAAUUUGAAGAUUGAAACAAGUAGAGAUUAGUAUUGGUUGAAAAAAAACGCGAUGAGUUUGGUGUGAAAGCAGCUUAUUAAGGUCGGGUCUAGCGUGGUGUUGCAGUGCAGCUUGCCUGGCAGCUUCAGUUCGAUGUUUACGCUCGUGCUUCGAACAUUUUUCUUCGGGGCUGUGCGCGGUUCGCGGCGUGAUUCCAUUCCAGUAUUUUGUCUUUCUUUCGUGGAUAAGAUUUUCCGUAUCUGACCGUGCCAACGUGGUAAUCCUCUGGCUUUACAAUAUUAUUUUCGGAUUUGUCUAUCCAAGGAAUCCCAUAUUGCAUUGCAGGAUUAUAUCAUAUUAUUAUAAAAUAUACAAUUAAAUUAUUCAAUUUAUAAUAAUAUAUAUAUAUAUAUAUAUUAUAAUAGAAUUUGAACAUCAUAAUAAUUGUACGUCGAUCGUUCAUUAAAAAUGAACGCGUGUCCAAACUUAUGAAGGAGAAUGUACAUGAGUGCUUCGGUAGCAGGCGCAUAUUGGGAUCGCAUCGCAUCUAUUAACGAGAGAGGCAGGUGUUCUACCGUUCUGGGAAUUAUCUGGCGUUAUCUGGCGUGUUUAGUUCGCUUACUUUUUAACAAGAGUGAGAAAAAAUAAAAAGCUGAGAGAAAUG